UGGCGGCAUGCCUAACACAUGCAAGUCGAACGAUGCUUUCGGGCAUAGUGGCGCACGGGUGCGUAACGCGUGGGAAUCUGCCCUUGGGUUCGGAAUAACCGUUAGAAAUGACGGCUAAUACCGGAUGAUGACGUAAGUCCAAAGAUUUAUCGCCCGAGGAUGAGCCCGCGUGAGAUUAGGUAGUUGGUGGGGUAAAGGCCUACCAAGCCGACGAUCUCUAGCUGGUCUGAGAGGAUGAUCAGCCACACUGGGACUGAGACACGGCCCAGACUCCUACGGGAGGCAGCAGUGGGGAAUAUUGGACAAUGGGCGCAAGCCUGAUCCAGCAAUGCCGCGUGAGUGAUGAAGGCCUUAGGGUUGUAAAGCUCUUUUACCCGGGAUGAUAAUGACAGUACCGGGAGAAUAAGCUCCGGCUAACUCCGUGCCAGCAGCCGCGGUAAUACGGAGGGAGCUAGCGUUAUUCGGAAUUACUGGGCGUAAAGCGCACGUAGGCGGCUUUGUAAGUUAGAGGUGAAAGCCUGGAGCUCAACUCCAGAAUUGCCUUUAAGACUGCAUCGCUUGAAUCCAGGAGAGGUGAGUGGAAUUCCGAGUGUAGAGGUGAA
rnacentral:rRNA from 1 species